rnacentral:rRNA from 1 species
GAUGAACGCUGGCGGCGUGCCUAAUACAUGCAAGUCGAGCGAACGGACGAGAAGCUUGCUUCUCUGAUGUUAGCGGCGGACGGGUGAGUAACACGUGGAUAACCUACCUAUAAGACUGGGAUAACUUCGGGAAACCGGAGCUAAUACCGGAUAAUAUUUUGAACCGCAUGGUUCAAAAGUGAAAGACGGUCUUGCUGUCACUUAUAGAUGGAUCCGCGCUGCAUUAGCUAGUUGGUAAGGUAACGGCUUACCAAGGCAACGAUGCAUGGCCGACCUGAGAGGGUGAUCGGCCACACUGGAACUGAGCCACGGUCCAGACUCCUACGGGAGGCAGCAGUAGGGAAUCUUCCGCAAAGGGCGAAAGCCUGACGGAGCAACGCCGCGUGAGUGAUGAAGGUCUUCGGAUCGUAAAACUCUGUUAUUAGGGAAGAACAUAUGUGUAAGUAACUGUGCACAUCUUGACGGUACCUAAUCAGAAAGCCACGGCUAACUACGUG